rnacentral:rRNA from 1 species
AUUGAACGCUGGCGGCAUGCCUUACACAUGCAAGUCGAACGGCAGCACGGGAGCAAUCCUGGUGGCGAGUGGCGAACGGGUGAGUAAAGUAUCGGAACGUGCCCAGUCGUGGGGGAUAACGUAGCGAAAGUUACGCUAAUACCGCAUACGAUCUAUGGAUGAAAGCGGGGGAUCGCAAGACCUCGCGCGAUUGGAGCGGCCGAUAUCGGAUUAGGUAGUUGGUGGGGUAAAGGCUCACCAGGCCGACGAUCUGUAGCUGGUCUGAGAGGACGACCAGCCAUACUGGGACUGAGACACGGCCCAGACUCCUACGGGAGGCAGCAGUGGGGAAUUUUGGACAAUGGGCGAAAGCCUGAUCCAGCCAUGCCGCGUGCAGGAUGAAGGCCUUCGGGUUGUAAACUGCUUUUGUACGGAACGAAAAGGUUUGGCCUAAUAAGCUGAGCUCAUGACGGUACCGUAAGAAUAAGCACCGGCUAACUACGUGCCAGCAGCCGCCGUAA